rnacentral:rRNA from 1 species
GACGAACGCUGGCGGCGUGCUUAACACAUGCCAGUCGAACGGAAAGGCCCCGCUUUUGUGGGGUGCUCGAGUGGCGAACGGGUGAGUAACACGUGAGUAACCUGCCCUUGACUUUGGGAUAACUUCAGGAAACUGGGGCUAAUACCGGAUAGGAGCUCCUGCUGCAUGGUGGGGGUUGGAAAGUUUCGGCGGUUGGGGAUGGACUCGCGGCUUAUCAGCUUGUUGGUGGGGUAGUGGCUUACCAAGGCUUUGACGGGUAGCCGGCCUGAGAGGGUGACCGGCCACAUUGGGACUGAGAUACGGCCCAGACUCCUACGGGAGGCAGCAGUGGGGAAUAUUGCACAAUGGGCGGAAGCCUGAUGCAGCAACGCCGCGUGCGGGAUGACGGCCUUCGGGUUGUAAACCGCUUUCGCCUGUGACGAAGCGUGAGUGACGGUAAUGGGUAAAGAAGCACCGGCUAACUACGU